GGGUCGAUAGCUCAGCGGUAGAGCAUUGGAUUGCAGAUCCAAUUGUCGGGAGUUCGAUCCUCCCUCGGCCCU